GACGAACGCUGGCGGCGUGCCUAAUACAUGCAAGUCGAGCGCAGGAAGUCAUCCGAACCCUUCGGGGGGACGUUGACGGAAUGAGCGGCGGACGGGUGAGUAACACGUAAAGAACCUGCCCUCAGGUCUGGGAUAACCACGAGAAAUCGGGGCUAAUACCGGAUGGGUCAUCGGACCGCAUGGUCCGAGGAUGAAAGGCGCUCCGGCGUCGCCUGGGGAUGGCUUUGCGGUGCAUUUGCUAGUUGGUGGGGUAAUGGCCCACCAAGGCGACGAUGCAUAGCCGACCUGAGAGGGUGAUCGGCCACACUGGGACUGAGACACGGCCCAGACUCCUACGGGAGGCAGCAGUAGGGAAUCUUCCACAAUGGGCGAAAGUCUGAUGGAGCAACGCCGCGUGAACGAUGAAGGCCCUCGGGUCGUAAAGUUCUGUUGUAAGGGAAGAACAAGUGCCGCAGGCAAUGGCGGCACCUUGACGGUACCUUGAGAGAAAGCCACGGCUAACUACGUG
rnacentral:rRNA from 1 species